rnacentral:rRNA from 1 species
AGAGUUUGAUCCUGGCUCAGGAUGAACGCUGGCGGCGUGCCUAACACAUGCAAGUCGAACGGAGCCUAAUCAGCAGAAGCGGACAGCUUGCUGGAAGCGGAAGCAGAAAAGGCUUAGUGGCGGACGGGUGAGUAACGCGUGGGUAACCUGGCCCAUACAGGGGGAUAACACUUAGAAAUAGGUGCUAAUACCGCAUAACAACAGAAAGCGCAUGCUUUGUGUUUGAAAACUGAGGUGGUAUGGGAUGGACCCGCGUCUGAUUAGCUGGUUGGCGGGGUAAUGGCCCACCAAGGCGACGAUCAGUAGCCGGCCUGAGAGGGUGGACGGCCACAUUGGGACUGAGACACGGCCCAAACUCCUACGGGAGGCAGCAGUGGGGAAUAUUGCACAAUGGGGGAAACCCUGAUGCAGCGACGCCGCGUGAGUGAAGAAGUAAUUCGUUAUGUAAAGCUCUAUCAGCAGGGAAGAAAAUGACGGUACCUGAUUAAGAAGCCCCGGCUAACUACGUGCCAGCAGCCGCGGUAAUACGUAGGGGGCAAGCGUUAUCCGG